AACAAAGUGUCUGAUUAAAGAAUCAUUUUGAUGAAAUGAAUAAUACACUUAAUUUUAGUGUCUUUGUUG
rnacentral:tRNA from 1 species